rnacentral:rRNA from 1 species
GAUGAACGCUGACAGAAUGCUUAACACAUGCAAGUCAACUUGAAUUUGGGUUUUUAACUUAGGUUUGGGUGGCGGACGGGUGAGUAACGCGUAAAGAACUUGCCUCACAGCUAGGGACAACAUUUGGAAACGAAUGCUAAUACCUAAUAUUAUGAUAAUAGGGCAUCCUAUAAUUAUGAAAGCUAUAAGCGCUGUGAGAGAGCUUUGCGUCCCAUUAGCUAGUUGGAGAGGUAACGGCUCACCAAGGCGAUGAUGGGUAGCCGGCCUGAGAGGGUGAUCGGCCACAAGGGGACUGAGACACGGCCCUUACUCCUACGGGAGGCAGCAGUGGGGAAUAUUGGACAAUGGACCGAGAGUCUGAUCCAGCAAUUCUGUGUGCACGAUGAAGUUUUUCGGAAUGUAAAGUGCUAUCAGUUGGGAAGAAACAAAUGACGGUACCAACAGAAGAAGUGACGGCUAAAUACGUG